rnacentral:lncRNA from 1 species
GAAGUUGGGGAUGACAAAGGCAUCCUUGCUAAACACCCCCCAAUCGUCAUUUUCGUAAGUUAAUACAAACUCCAUGACAAAUUAAAUCUAUAAGCAAUAAUUAAAGGCCAUUAUUCAUCGGCCAUGCUUCGCAAACUUUAUCUUCUACUCACUGUCUUGGGACGCUUCCUCGGGUGCUGCAGUGCCAGUGUCGUCCUUUCUCAAGAGAUCAUCUGCCUGGAGUGUGGCCUUUGAGAGCCUCGGCGAGCUCGCGAUCAAGCUCCUCCGCAAAGUUCAUGGUCAUCCUACUCGGGAAUUCACAGGAGAAAACGCAAAGGUAUCAGGAAAGAGGAACGAUUUCACUGCUAGGUACCUCGUCCGCCACGUCGAGCGCCUCACUCGUUGUGUUGGUCGUCUCCAGUUGCUUCAUGGCCUGUGUAAAUGCUCUCCUCUACCUGGGGAAUGAAAGAAACAAAGAACACGAAGGACGGACUGAAAUGGAAGUUGAAUCUUCAUACCUGUAAGUGGGUUCUCGAUUUGACACAAGCGCUCGGCCUCGUCUUCCAGAAGCCUGGUAACAAUGGGAAGAAAAAAGAAGAGAUAUUUAACUAACUUGAGCAUAUCAA